rnacentral:lncRNA from 1 species
AGCGCAGCAGCGCCACCUGGUGGUCGAUGCGCUUCCUUUGCAGAUCACGCACAGCCCUGAGAUCCACCUCUCCUUCCUACGCACCACGCAUUUCUUCACUGGACACCAGCCUGCGUCAAUCUUCCUGUAAAGCAAAAGAAGCGUGAGGUUGGUGGGGGAGGAAUGGUGUUAUCUCCACCUUUGGCGAGAUCCAUGUCACCGUGUUCAGGGGAAGGGCCAGGCCUUACUCCCCAUGCAGAGAGGAGGCUCUGGCCGUGAAGGCGCCUGUGGAGAGAAUGGAGUUCUCAGCAGAGGAAUGAAAGACAGCCCUAGGAACAUGAUACACCUCAUGGGUAGCUGACUGACCCACCCAUCUGCCACCCCCAGCUGAAGGAAGCAGCUAGACUGUACCCUUCACCCAUCCUUCAGUUGUAUUCCACUGGACGUGGACCCUCUACAAGUGUGGACAUUCCUGGAUCUCAGUUGCUCUUCCUGCUGUUGAGGAGUCUCCACUGGUGUGGCUCAUGCCUAGAUGGGCUCUGCAGGAGGCUUAGUGUCUCCCAGUUCUCAAGGCUAAUAUUCAGUGAACCCAGACCAAGCCUCAAAGUACACAGGGGCUCAGAUUUUCAUCUAUGAAAUGGAAGAAUCCAUCUCCCUCUUUCAGGUGUAGUGGUAAUUAUAUAUAUACAUAUAUAUAGACACACACAUUUAUACACGAACACAUACAUGACAAUCAGUAAUCUAUAUAUUGAUGGUGUUCUUAGUGUUGCCUUUAUUGCUCAGCUGAACUCUAUAACCAAAAAUUGGAUCAUGGAUUGUGAAGGAAGAACUCAUUUCUUUUCUCUGGUGGAGCACUCGGUAGGCAUUUCUGCCCUUUGGGUUCAAAUGAGAAAGUAGCUUUAGCCUGAGGGAGAAAGAAGAUUAUGACUAUUAUUAUUAUUAUUAUAAUAGAGAUAAGGUCUUGCUAUGUUGCCCAGGCUGGGGUGCAGUGACUAUUCACAGCUGUGAUCAUAGUGGACUACGUCCUUGAACUUCAGGGCUCCAGCAAUGUUCCAGCCUCAGCCUCCUGAGUAGCUGGGACUACAGGUGCAUGCCACCAUGUCUGGCCUCAUUUCAUUGUUAUUUUACUUCAAAUGCUUUAUUUUAAAUGUUAAAAUAUAUGUUUUUAUAUUCAAAAGUGAAACCCUAUUUGAUCACAGAAGACUUUAAGAUGCACAGACAGUUAGAAACAUCACCUAGACCUUUCUUUAAAAAAUCACUGCUAUUAUAUUGUUGAACCUUUGUAGACUGCAGUGCAAAUGGUGGUCCCUGGAGCUGUCUUGUGCAGUGGUGCUGAUUUUCAUUUUGUUAUUUUCUAUAUAUGUAUUUUUAUAUAUGCUGUCAUUUUACAAAGUUGCAUUCAUAUGUUAAGGGUUAUCUUGGAUGUUGCUUUUGGAAUGUAUUAUUAUACAAGUAGUUUUCCAUGUUAUAAGCUCUGCAUAAAGUUUAUACACUUUUUCAA